GUGUCAGCAGCCGCGGUAAUACAGAGGGUGCGAGCGUUGUCCGGAAUCACUGGGCGUAAAGGGCGCGUAGGCGGCUUGGUAAGUAGGGGGUGAAAUCUCAUGGCUUAACUGUGAGGCUGCCUUCUAGACUGCUGAGCUGGAGCACAGUAGAGGCGAGUGGAAUUCCCGGUGUAGCGGUGGAAUGCGUAGAGAUCGGGAAGAACAUCGGUGGCGAAGGCGGCUCGCUGGGCUGUUGCUGACGCUGAGGCGCGAAAGCGUGGGGAGCAAACAGGAUUAGAUACCCUGGUAGUCCACGCUGUAAACGAUGGGUGCUAGGCGUCGGGGGGAGCGACCCCUUCGGUGCCGUCGCUAACGCAAUAAGCACCCCGCCUGGGGAGUACGGUCGCAAGACUGAA
rnacentral:rRNA from 1 species